rnacentral:tRNA from 1 species
GAGGGUAUAGCUCAGUGGUAGAGUGCAUGCUUAGCAUGCAUGAGGUCCUAGGUUCAACCCCCAGGACCUCCA